rnacentral:rRNA from 1 species
GAUGAACGCUGGCGGCGUGCUUAACACAUGCAAGUCGAACGAUAAAGCCCAGCUUGCUGGGUGGAUUAGUGGCGAACGGGUGAGUAACACGUGAGUAACCUGCCCUUGACUCUGGGAUAAGCCCGGGAAACUGGGUCUAAUACCGGAUAGGAGCGCCUGUCGCAUGACGGGUGUUGGAAAGAUUUUUCGGUCAUGGAUGGACUCGCGGCCUAUCAGCUUGUUGGUGAGGUAAUGGCUCACCAAGGCGACGACGGGUAGCCGGCCUGAGAGGGUGACCGGCCACACUGGGACUGAGACACGGCCCAGACUCCUACGGGAGGCAGCAGUGGGGAAUAUUGCACAAUGGGCGGAAGCCUGAUGCAGCGACGCCGCGUGAGGGAUGACGGCCUUCGGGUUGUAAACCUCUUUCAGUAGGGAAGAAGCGAAAGUGACGUACCUGCAG